CUGUCCCAAAGCUGGCUAGCCACACCGGCCCGAAGCGCGCGGCGCCCUGCACCUGGGGGAGCGGACACAGCGGACACUUGGGGAUGUUGGGGGUAAUUCCUGUAUGAAAUGUGUCGUCUCAAGAAAUCAAGUAGAGGCGAGGACUGUGUUCCUCCGACCAGCAGGUGGCACCAUACUCGUUUAGUGCGUUCCGCUGGAGAAUUCUGGCCCUUCCGCCGCGCCGUAGGUUUGUUGCCUCACCAGUGCACCCGCGGGAGGGAGUUUAUCGC
rnacentral:lncRNA from 1 species